rnacentral:rRNA from 1 species
GCACAAGCGGUGGAUGAUGUGGUUUAAUUCGAUGCAACGCGAAAACCUUACCCACCUUUGACAUGUACGGAAUCCUUUAGAGAUAGAGGAGUGCUCGAAAGAGAGCCGUAACACAGGUGCUGCAUGGCUGUCGUCAGCUCGUGUCGUGAGAUGUUGGGUUAAGUCCCGCAACGAGCGCAACCCUUGUCAUUAGUUGCUACGAAAGGGCACUCUAAUGAGACUGCCGGUGACAAACCGGAGGAAGGUGGGGAUGACGUCAAGUCCUCAUGGCCCUUAUAGGUGGGGCUACACACGUCAUACAAUGGCUGGUACAAAGGGUUGCCAACCCGCGAGGGGGAGCCAAUCCCAUAAAGCCAGUCGUAGUCCGGAUCGCAGUCUGCAACUCGACUGCGUGAAGUCGGAAUCGCUAGUAAUCGUGGAUCAGCAUGUCACGGUGAAUACGUUCCCGGGUCUU